AGUGAACGCUGGCGGCAGGCCUAACACAUGCAAGUCGAGCGGCAGCGCGUCCGACCACCCUCGGGUGGUCGGAUGGCGGCGAGCGGCGGACGGGUGAGGAAUGCAUCGGAAUCUGCCUCGUUGUGGGGGAUAACGUAGGGAAACUUACGCUAAUACCGCAUACGACCUACGGGUGAAAGUGGGGGACCUUCGGGCCUCACGCGAUGAGAUGAGCCGAUGCCGGAUUAGCUAGUUGGCGGGGUAAAGGCCCACCAAGGCGACGAUCCGUAGCUGGUCUGAGAGGAUGAUCAGCCACACUGGGACUGAGACACGGCCCAGACUCCUACGGGAGGCAGCAGUGGGGAAUUUUGGACAAUGGGCGCAAGCCUGAUCCAGCCAUGCCGCGUGAGUGAAGAAGGCCU
rnacentral:rRNA from 1 species